rnacentral:rRNA from 1 species
GACGAACGCUGGCGGCAGGCUUAACACAUGCAAGUCGAACGCCCCGCAAGGGGAGUGGCAGACGGGUGAGUAACGCGUGGGAAUCUACCGUACCCUACGGAAUAACGCAUGGAAACGUGUGCUAAUACCGUAUACGCCCUACGGGGGAAAGAUUUAUCGGGGUAUGAUGAGCCCGCGUUGGGUUAGCUAGUUGGUGGGGUAAAGGCCUACCAAGGCGACGAUCCAUAGCUGGUCUGAGAGGAUGAUCAGCCACAUUGGGACUGAGACACGGCCCAAACUCCUACGGGAGGCAGCAGUGGGGAAUAUUGGACAAUGGGCGCAAGCCUGAUCCAGCCAUGCCGCGUGAGUGAUGAAGGUCUUAGGAUUGUAAAGCUCUUUCACCGGAGAAGAUAAUGACGGUAUCCGGAGAAGAAGCCCCGGCUAACUUCGUGCCAGCCGCCGCCGUAAGAC